UACGGGGGGGGCAAGCGUUGUUCGGAAUUACUGGGCGGAAAGGGCGCGUAGGCGGUUUGCUAAGUUGAAUGUGAAAACUCUGGGCUUAACCCAGAGCCUGCAUUCAAUACUGGCAGGCUAGAGUUCUGGAGGGGAUAGCGGAAUUCCUGGUGUAGCGGUGAAAUGCGUAGAUAUCAGGAGGAACACCGGUGGCGAAGGCGGCUAUCUGGACAGAGUCUGACGCUGAGGCGCGAAAGCUAGGGGAGCAAACAGG
rnacentral:rRNA from 1 species